UUAAAUUUUUAUUGUAAAACUAUGAUCAAAUAUCAUUCCACCUCCAAACUGAAAAUUUUCAAAUAAAAUAAUUUUAUUUUAUUAAACUGUCUAAGCACUUAUUCAGAUACUCAACUUUAUCUAUAUUAUAGAAAGAGGGUUUCAACAUGGCCUGCUUCUAGCCAUUAUUAACAAAGUUUAAGGGCAAUUUCAUCAUUGAAAAUUAUCAUACAUGGCUUGCAAUCAAUCCUAAGUUCUACGUGUUCGUUUCAUAGUACUCCAUCAUAAGCCGACAUGAGUGCUUAACUAAUUGAGUUCGUUUGACUGCUUCUCCGAGCAAAUUUCUGAUAAUCUUCAGAAGAGAUGCUUUCCUCUUCAAAAGUAAAAAAAGAGGAAAUAUGGAGUGCUACAUUUCCUUUGCUUUGCUAUUGCUUUUCCUCUGUUUGCUUGGCUUCUCUGUUUUUUUAUCGCUUUGAUUAUUCAAAAGUUAGAUUAGAGUAAUCAAGUUAGAUAUUUGGGAGAUUCUUGAGACGUGAAAUUGUAUUUUGACCUUCUAUUUUCAAGUUUGAUUUUUGCUCUAUGCAAGGUAACACCAUAGUUUGAAGUUAGUUUUAUGAUCUGUUUAAUACCGCAUAGCAUGACGAUGCGGUGUUGUUUUUAUUAUUUGAUGAUUUUUCUAUAGCGGUGUACCGUGUACGGGUUGUUAUUUCUCUAUGAUUUGCCAUUCAUGUUUUUACAUUGAUAUGAUUAGGUUUCAUAGAUUUAGGACCCCUUUGCUUAAGUGAAUAAAGUGGAGAAAAGAACAUGAAAAAAAUGUCUUUGCUACUAUUUUGUGGCUGAUAUUGGAUGUCUUCUCAUAUUUUCAGUUGUUUUUUCAUAUUAUUACUGUAGUUUUCAAGUGUUUAUUUUAGGUUUAUUGACCAAAAGAAAACCUAUUUAGAAGUCUAUCGGACAACCUUAGUUGUUUUGGAGCAUUUUCUUGUAUGUUUUACUUCAAGGCUGCAUAAGUUGUAGGAAGACAUAUGUGUCGAUUGUGCAAGAUGUGCAAUAUAUUUUGCUUUCCCCUCAUGAUGUUUCCCUUGGAAACAACUGAUAACUAACUUUAAUAAUUAGUCGGUUCUUGAAUGGUGCUUAACAUAAUUUCAGUGAAAAGGUCUGAAUUCUUUAAACUUCCUUAAUUCAUAGGGUAUUUUAUAAGCUGUUAGAAACUAAAGGAAUGUCUCAAUAUAUAGCAUUUUAGUUCUAUAUGUUGGUAGACAUUUGCACGCCGCACACUUUUUUUUUUGUAAUUCUGGAGAGCUGUUUGAAUGAGAUUUUAUCGGUGAUUGAAGUGACGAGAGUUGUAACAAACUCUUAAAUCUCGAACCCCAAAGGAAAUCCACUCCAUUGUUGGCCUGUGGUUGAGUUGUGGUUAGAUUUCAACGAUGGAGGAGAAGGGGAUGCAAAAUAUCACAAAUAUGUUAUGGAUAGUCAUACAACCCAUUUAAACAAUUUGUUUUAGUACUAAUUAAAUGGGUCAAAAUGGUAACAAGGAUAAACAUGUUUUUGACUUGGAAUUCUAUUUAGGGAUAGUGCCAAAAGUUAAAACUUGGUACUUAAAUCCUUAAAUGUUUAGACACAAAUGGGCUUGAAUUAUAGAUUUUGAACAUGUCUGAUUUAUGCAUUUUCUUAUUUUAGUUCGACUAUACAAGAUAAAAUUUCAGCCCACACAUGAUCAGUUUUUAAAAAAUCUUGCAGGAUAUCCUCAUUCGUGAACAAAAAGGACAAAACGAUCACAUUCAUAAACAGGUCCGAUUUGUGUUAUGUAUAAGAUCCUUUUUCAAGGAUUGUUUGUUAUGCCUUCAACUUUGAUUUCGACGGAUACUGAAUCUUGUGCUUAGAUGGAUGACAUAGCAACUUCAUUGAUGAACAGAACAACAACGACACCCCUCUUCGCUAGAGCCAUCCAAAAGUCUAUUGAUUCUCAAUUUUGGUAUAGCCUCAAGAAUGUGUAUUGCUUAUCUUAUGGAAUGUUUGAAAAUUAUUGUCUUUGCGUUACAAUAUUUUUUUGACAUACCAAAGAUAACCCGACAUCUUGAAAAAUCUUCAUUUUUCUUCAAUUUCUUCAGUUUUAUGAGCUAAAAAUGAACUAUGUUUUCAUCAAACCAGCUUUCGGGUUCGAGUUUUAGAGAAUCCAUAAUAACCAUUGGAAGUUGAUGCUCAGAUCUUUGUAAAGAGCCGAAAACUGAGGAAGAAUGCUAAAGGUUAGGAGAUCGGUGAAGAAACGUGUCACUCAAUAGGCUUCUCAAGAGGACAAGAUUGGUAGAGCACCGGCUUGCAGAUUAAUUUUCUGACCAAACAUUUCUUGUAAAUGUGCUAUCUUUUGUUGUUCGAAUGAUCAACUCCUAUUGGGGAACCCAGCAAUGGAUCGACCUUGCCCGGCUUACAGGAUUGCAGGCUUGGAAGAGUCAGCAAGUUUCUGAUCUUCCUCCAGAUUCUGCAAAUCCAGCUGCAGUCGGUUGCAAUACAUCAGAAGAUACCAAUACUGAUGAAAUCAACAGUCAAUAGUAGCACUUACUUAUCUUCUCUACUUUCUAGCAUUACUUGUAAGCAGCAGUUUUGAUUCUCUUGCUGUAUACCAUUCACUUUUUAGCUUGUCAAUAUACACAGUUGAUAAAUUUUGAUACUCGUUUAAUAAAAAAUUAUUUUUCGAA